AUCCGUGCUGAAGUUAGCCAACCAGGGGCCCUCCUUGGCGACGACCAAAUCUACAAUGUCAUUGUCACCGCCCAUGCAUUUGUUAUAAUCUUUUUCAUGGUUAUACCAGUGAUAAUCGGCGGCUUUGGUAACUGACUUGUACCACUAAUAAUUGGCGCUCCAGAUAUAGCCUUCCCACGAAUGAACAACAUAAGCUUUUGACUACUCCCCCCCUCACUGCUCCUUCUCCUUGCCUCCUCCGGUGUGGAGGCUGGCGCAGGAACUGGUUGAACCGUGUACCCCCCCCUCGCUGCCAAUCUCGCCCACGCCGGCGCAUCUGUAGACCUUGUUAUCUUCUCCCUCCACUUAGCAGGCAUCUCGUCAAUUCUUGGGGCUAUUAACUUCAUCACUACCUGCAUCAACAUAAAAUCUCCUGCCCUAUCACAAUACAACACCCCCCUUUUUGUAUGAUCAGUUUUAAUCACAGCAGUGUUACUACUUCUUGCCCUACCAGUUCUAGCUGCUGGCAUCACUAUACUACUGACUGACCGAAACCUUAAC
rnacentral:rRNA from 1 species